ensembl:snRNA U1 U1 spliceosomal RNA
ACUCAUACCUUGCAGAGGAAAUACCAUAUCAUAAAAGUGGUUUUGCCAGGGGGAGGCUCAUCCAUUGCACUUUGGGUGUGUUGCUGAUCCCUGUGAUUUCCCCAAAUGUGGGGAACUCAACUGCAUAAUUUGUGGUAAUGGGGGAUUACAUUUGUGAUUUCCCUGG